rnacentral:rRNA from 1 species
UACGUAGGGGGCAAGCGUUGUCCGGAUUUAUUGGGCGUAAAGAGCGUGUAGGCGGCCAGGUAGGUCCGCUGUGAAAACUCGAGGCUCAACCUCGAGAUGUCGGCGGAAACCAUCUGGCUAGAGUCCGGAAGAGGAGAGUGGAAUUCCUGGUGUAGCGGUGAAAUGCGCAGAUAUCAGGAAGAACACCCGUGGCGAAGGCGGCUACCUGGACCAGCACUGACACUGAGGCACGAAAGCGUGGGGAGCAAACAGG